rnacentral:lncRNA from 1 species
CAUCUCCACUCUCCAGCACUCCCAGACACCCACCUUCUUCUCUGACUGUACCCUAACUUAUCAAAGCCAAGGGUCUGUUUCCCUAGAGUAGCAAAGAACACUUGAAAAAUCUAAAGGACUGAACGCUGAUUUCAGAGAUCAGGGCAGGAGGGAAGACUAAGCAAGCAAAGACUGGUAAGGAACCAGUCUAAUACAGAGACAAAAGAAGCCUCAGACUUUAGAUCCCAUCGACUUAGCGCUGGGCUCCAGCUGUUUACAUGCAUGAAACUCCUACCAUCCUCUUUUGAUUUGCAACAUGCGCUGAGCCUAGGACAAAAGAACAUCCUCUUAUUCACAAGUCGUGACUCAUGUGAAAAUUGAAACUUCAUGCUAUUUUUUAUUAAGGGCUUUGCUUUCUUUCUGUGGGUCAGAAUAAUUGGGGGAGGGAGAAGAUAAACACAGUAAAAUAAACAUGAACAAUGGAUAAAUCCA